rnacentral:rRNA from 1 species
AUUGAACGCUGGCGGCAUGCCUUACACAUGCAAGUCGAACGGCAGCGGACCUUCGGGUGCCGGCGAGUGGCGAACGGGUGAGUAAUGCAUCGGAACGUGCCAUUGAGUGGGGGAUAACGUAGCGAAAGUUGCGCUAAUACCGCAUAUUCUGUGAGCAGGAAAGCAGGGGACCGCAAGGCCUUGCGCUCUUUGAGCGGCCGAUGUCAGAUUAGCUAGUUGGUGAGGUAACGGCUUACCAAGGCGACGAUCUGUAGCGGGUCUGAGAGGAUGAUCCGCCACACUGGAACUGAGACACGGUCCAGACUCCUACGGGAGGCAGCAGUGGGGAAUUUUGGACAAUGGGGGCAACCCUGAUCCAGCCAUGCCGCGUGAGUGAAGAA